GUAGAACUUCCGGCAGCAACUGCAAUUAGGGGUAGUCCAGUGCUAAAUUGUCGCAGCCUUGAAAAUAUUCUGCUUCGUUAUUUCGGGCACUCCACAGAUUCUGUUGCGAAGGCAGCCAUCUUUAGUUCGUCUUUCCUAGAGAGUAGUGUGUGAGCUGCAAAGUUGCUUUACAUCUUUGCCAGCAGCUGAUAAGGGUGGGCCAUAAACCCAAUUUGUGUCCCUUGGGCUGGUGAUUCUGCUGGAAAUCCUGAUCAGCUGCUUAGCUUUUCAGCCGCAACUUUGUUCGUUGAGAAGAUUCUGCUCCAUUUUUUCUGAUUAUGGAUUCUGUUCAGAAGGAAGCCGAAUUUUAAGUCAUCGUUCUAGGAUAGGUAAUAUAUCUUUAUUUCUCAGAAGUUUUCAGUUGGUAUGCAUUUGUUCACUUCACUGAUUUUUUUUUUUGUAUUUCAUAUAGAUAUCUAAUAUGUAGGUUAAUAAUAAAAUAGUUUUAAAAGUCCAAUGCCUAUAUGGUCAAUCUAAAUAUUUCAUUUCUGUAAAUAAAAAUAUAAUUUACUUGAUUGACAGCAACAGCAAAAGCAAAAGAAAAUCAUGGGAUAAAUGUCUAAUUUUUAUUAAAAUGUAUACAUAUCUACGAAUUAUAUCCAAAAUAAUAUAA
rnacentral:lncRNA from 1 species